rnacentral:tRNA from 1 species
CCCGUCUUAGCGUAGUCUGGUUAACGCGGCCGCCUGUAGAGCGGCAGACCCCCGGUUCAAAUCCGGGAGACGGGA